rnacentral:lncRNA from 1 species
GGUUUACAUGAUUUGAGAUUUGGUGUUAUAAAGCUAUUAGGGAAUUUUAUUGAACCGUAUAAUUAUUAUGAGAUCUUCUUUGGAGUUCAACCCAAUGGGGUAUUUAGCUAAAGAAGGAUUUUAGUGCAAAAUAUGCCAACCCAAUAUGUUUAUUGGAGUUUAAACUAAUUUAUGAAACAAAGGUUUCAUAAUAGAUUUCAAAACCUAUUUUACGUAUUACUUAUAAAGCUCUAAUGACAUUUAUAUAAGCAAAAGUAUUUUUACUUAUUUUAUUUUUGAAAGGAUUCAAGUCCCAAAAGCUCACACUUUGGAGAAUUUGAAUUUAUAAAUUUUCUGGAAUUUAUUUGGACUUAUUUGGAGUUAGGAAUCAAAGGUUAUUAAUAAAAAGAAAGAAAUGGAAAAAAAAAGAAAAAAAAGAAAAAGAAUGGACCGACCCAACUGGGCCGGCCCAUCUCCACCGAACGCCCCAGCCAGCCAGGAGCACGAGCUCGUGCUUCCUCCUCCUCUGCACGUAAGAAAUCCUUUCUUUCCAUAUUUUCUUUCUUCAAUUUUUUUCCUUUCCGCACGUCUCUCUCCAAAAGGAAACCACCCAAUCAAUCCUCACCAUCCCGGGAAUCCAUUCAGGAAAUCAAUUUGAAGUUUCCUCUAAUUAUCGCAGUUUCCAAAAUAGGUGCCCCGAAUGUCGGCCGUCGACAUCCACGCCCGAUCUCCCUCCUCGCCCACUAUAAAAGGAUUCCACGCGCGUCACUUUGAGCCUUUGCCUCUCCUCUCCCAUUCCCAUGUAGAAAGUUUGGCCUCAAAACCUCUGUACAGCCGGCUAUGUCGACGUCUUCCUCCGCCGGUCACC